CCAUUGACACAAAUUAGUCUCUAUCUUGCAGAUGAUUUAAACCAGUUAUAACCAGUUAGUAAUAUCUUGUAGUCAACUGUGUCAAAUGCAGCUCUGAGAUCCAGCAGUACUAAGACAGAGACUUUACCAUUGUCUGUAUUUAAAUAGAUGUCAUUAAAGACUUUCAUGAGAGCAGUCUCAGUGCUGUGGUGUGGUCAAAAUCCAGAUUGGAGAACAUCAAAACAAUUGUUCAGUGCCAAAAAGGUGUUUUCAAUUAUUUUACCCAGAAAUGGGAGGUUUGAUAUGGGUCUAUAAUUCUGCAUUAUUGAGGUGUCUAAAUUGUUGUAAAACAGCCUGUGAGAAGAGAGAUAGUGACUAAUGCCAGGAGGUCUGAUGCCCAGCAGUUAAAAACAUUCUUUAGAAAGAUUGUGGGAAGAAUAUCAAGGCAGCAGGAGGAAGAACUCAGACGUAACACAGUUUCCUCUAGGGCAUUAUGGCUGAUGGGAUCAAAUUGUGUCAUGCAGACUGAAUUGGUUUUAAGAGGAAGCAUGGAUGACAUAAUCCCUUUACCUGAUACAGAGGCACUGACAGCUUUGUCUGAUUUUCUGAAUUUUGUCUGUAAAGCAGGUGGCAAAGUUGUUGCAUGGUUGAGUAAAUAGGAGUUCAGGGGCUACUGAUAUGGGGGGAUUUGUCAGCCUGUCAACAGUCAACAAUAAUUGCCAUUUUUGGUAAUGAUAUCUGAGAAAAAAGAAAAUCUUUUCUUCUCAUUUCUUAGUUAUACAUUGUAAGUGUGAAGACUCUUUAAAAAUAUCAGAAUGAAUAUGGAGAUUUGAUUUUUGCCAUCUUCAAACCUUUUAUGAAGCUUCACCAGUGUGGCAUUUCUCCAUGAUUAGAUUGAGUUACUUUUAAUUAGAAAUUAAAAAUGAAACUAUAUUUUGAAUAUUAAAUUGUUAUUUGACUCUUUAUUUGUUUAUGGCAAUCUUAACAUUAAAGAGAAGAAUGCUGUAGCAAAGGCUGUGCAGGUAGCCAGUGUAAAAGCUGGAGAAAGGUGUUUAGAGUUUAGUGAAUGCCAUUAUGCCUGGCUGUGUGCAUCACGGUAGUGUUUAAAUUCAGUCUGACUGCUACCAGAGAAAAACGCAGAAGGGUUAACUCCGCUGGCUUUGACCGUAAAUGUUGGCAGUACAUUGGCAGCAAGUUUGUGUCAUGAUCCUGCUAGGCUCCCCGUGUUUUUCCUGUGUUUUCGUCCCUUCCCUAUGUUUCUGUGAGUCCCCUGUGGAGUUUGUCUCUGUCUGAUUGUGUAUGUGUCUGUCUGAUUGUGUAUGUCUCUGUCUGAUUGUGUAUGUGUCUGUCGUGGGCGUGGCGCCCCUGACCUGCUGUCACGGCCGUCACCACCCACCUGGUCUCCCGCGCUGCCUGCUGCACACCUGAUUCCCACGCUCCUCAACGCUCUGCAGUAUAUAUACUCCGGCUCUGCACGGCAGAUUUCGCUACAUCGUUAGUUAACCGCUAAGGCCCAUCACUCCACCACGUCUGCCUGCCUGCUCCACUCUCCCUGCCACGCCAGCCGCCAUUGUCUGUUACUGCGCUCUCGGAAGCCCUCUCCACACCACCACUACGCCACGCCGGAUCAACUGGACUCUUCCCCACACCUCCUUAACUUUCAAUUAAACUGCUUGUUAUUCACUAA